rnacentral:lncRNA from 1 species
GCAUGCGGGAGGCACGAGCCCAUUCUCCCGUGACGGUGACUCCAACGGUUGGCUGAGGACGAUUCCCUGAGCCUUGACAAAGCAGGAGCCCUCCGUGGCGGUGCGUCGGUGUCGAGGCUCCAGUCUGACUAAUCCAGGGGGUCGACAAAACAGAUUCGGGACACUAUGCUACACGGAGGGCCUACCAGGAUGCAGAAACAGCAGACGGAGUCCAGGGAAAGCAGUGCGGCAUCCCAGCCUCAGGCCUGCCCGUACGGUGUUCGGAAAUACUAGGCUUUAGAAUUUCACCAUAUGAAUUUUGGGAGAGAGGAGCACAGUUCAGCCCAUAACUAACACACGACGGAAUGAAGUUGAUAAUAGUGAGACCUUGUUGGUACAAGACUAUGUAACAUAACCUGCGCUUCUCAACAAAGAAUUGCUUUUCUGACUUCUGCACUCAAUAGCAAGACAAAUCUCUCCUCUGCCUUCUCCUUAUCAGACUACUCAACAUGAAGGCAAUAAGAAUGAAGACCUCUAUGUAUAAUAAUUGACUUCCACUUAAUAAAUAAGGUUACUUGGUACACUGGUCGACAAAACCUUGAAAUGUUGAUGUUUAAGGGCUGUUGAUUGCUGGCAGCAAAGAAGUCCAACUGUGCUGGUACCCGAGAUAGCGUCUCCACAUUUUCUUCCAGGAUCAUCACCUUUGUUCUAAAUAGCUCCCACAUAGUGUGAACAGAAGUCAUAUGUUUUAGAUUUUCUGCCUUGGCACCC